GCAUAGGUUAUAGAAUUUGUAUGGUUUUUUCUAAUUAGCUGACCCAAAUUAUGAUAUAGUAAUGUAUGGUUUUGCAGUACAAUAUCAAAUAUUACUGUGUGGUUGGAAUUGAGCACAUUGAGAGGCAGUUCUUGGCCAGUAUGUAACUUCUCUGUAAGUAAGGCCAGAUAUCCCUUAAUGAAAUGGUUUUCAUUUUCUGUUUAGAUCAAGCUAUGAAUUUAUCCUGUAGUAUGGUGUAUUGAGAAAAAAUGCAUGCCUCUCUUUCUUUCCUUUUAAUCUUUGUUUCAGGGAUAGGCCUUGGGUAUCAUUUAGACGCUAAUCAAACAGAAGAAGAAGAAGAAGGAAGAAGGAAGAAGGAAGAGAAUGAGAGAGUCACAGAUGUAGACGAAGUCAUGGUUUUUGCUCUGUGGUUCUGGCUAUGGCUCAGAGAGAGAGAC
rnacentral:lncRNA from 1 species